GCGACAGAGUGAGACUCCAUCUCAAAACAAAAACAAAAACAGAAACAAAAAUAAAACCAACAAAAUGAAAAAGAUACAAAAAAAAAAAAGAAAGCAGGAGUAGCUCACAGUUACCAGUCACACCCAAUGACCCAGUGGGGGAAUUUUGUGCUUUUAUUCCCACAACUCUGAGCUCUGCAGAGGGAGCGGCCCACAGACUAUAUGCUAGGACCGCUGCCCGGGCCCUUGGACUGCAUGUGCUUGGGGCCAGCACAGAAGAAAAGGAGUUGUGUGGUGGCAGGGGUAACUGACACAUCAGCAGGCGGAGGCCAGGCUGCUUCUGUGCAAUGGGGCUAGGGAGGAACAUGUGUGGAACCCACAUUUGGCCUACUUGGGGGCCUCUUCUGUUUUAACAGAAUGGACACUUGCAACAACCCUGGCCUGAGGAAGGUGUGCUUAUUAAGGCCUCAGCGUCCUCAGGAAUAAAAUUUUUCCAGGUUAGCCACCAGGACCUGCUGUGGAGACAGCUGAGCGAGGGGAAUUGAGAAGGGAUAUGGACAGGAGAGGAUGGGUACCAGUGUGGCCCUAAGAUCUGCUGUAGCAACAGGGGCCACAUCCCCAGGAAGGCACACUGAAUCGGGGAGGAGCUGCCCCCUGCCCCCGGAUGGAAGAUCAGAUCUCAGCACCCGGCAGACCAUGGCAAUGUGGACCUGGACAGCUGCGGAGCAUGGCUGGCUGCAGCCCCGGUUGCCACCCCUCUGGAUCCACCCAGCAUUUGUGCUGAGACCACAAUUCCCCUAGACUACUCUCAACCAACAACUAGACAGGCUGGGAAUCCAGCACAGGCUCUUUCCUGUGGGACGCAGGAGUCCUCUGAUAGCAGCGAUGGCCCAAGGAUGGCACAGUGCUUGGCGACACUGUGCUGCCAUCCUGAGACUUUCUGCUCAGCCCUCCUUUCCCCAUCCCCUUUCAUGGGAGGCAGACCAGCAGCAUGCUCUGAGGGCUCCCCUGCCACCUCCUGCUCCCUCCUGUGUACUUUGCAGGUGUCCCCCAGUGACUCUUGCAUGUCUAAUCUCAGCUUGGCAUCUGCUCCUUGGGGGACCUGAACUAACGUAAGAGCUUCAGACUCCAUCCCUCCAAAGUUCAUUGGGUCCAGUCUUCUGCUUCUAGCCUGGGCUGUCCGUGCUCACAAGACCGAGGAGAUGGAAGCCCCUCUCCUGAAAGGACAGAGGAUGUCUCCUCCUUCCUCCUUGUCGAGACAUUGGCUUUGAGUCCUCUGGAAGUCCUUCCUCAGACCUAGUUUAGAGCCUCCCAGCUCUCUAAAUGGUUCCUGCCACCUCAGUGGUCCCUAGCCCAGACACCGUGGCGGACGUUGAGUGGAGUGCCACAGCCUUAGCACCCUUGGGUGCGUGUGCAGCAUGGACCUGGCCCACACAGGGGGCCUGGGCCCACCCGGGCUAGGGCCGCUGAGCUUGACCCCCAGGCUCCCUGCAGUCUUCCCACCUCCCUUGGAGCCCCCGUGGUGAACAGCGCAUGCGCUCUACCUGGCUCCUUCUCACGACUUGUUGGAAAGGAGAAUUGAUGACAACAUCAAUAAUGUGACUUGUAUACAAGCUGCACUGCCAACAAACCCGAGUUCUGGGGAUAAAUCCUUUUCUCGCCCGGUAAUUGCUCUGUAAGCCAAAAGGAAUUACGCUUUUCUUGGCAACCACAACAGGGCCUCCCCAGGACGCCAGAGCUUCCCUUCUGCUGGUGACUUCCGCACCGCCCCACAGGCUGUUCACAAGCCUCUGUCCACCCAGAUGCCCUAACCACGGCCCCUGGGCUCAGGACAUAGGGUGUAGGUGCUCUGCUGGGCCCCUCAACCCACCCCUCCUGCCCGUGGCUGGUGGGUGGAGAUGGGCUCACUGUGUUCUUUGUCCCAAGUGGCUCUUGAAUGGACACAGUCAUCAGGGGAUUCCAUUAACCCAACAUACGCAGAGCCCAGGGAGGGAAGGCAGUGAGGGAGGAGGAAGAGUCAGGGCCAUGAGCUAGGGUCUGGGCUUGGAUGAGAGAGGAGGGGAGCAAAAGAAGGAGUGUGCAGAGGGAUGGGCGAAGGCAGUGGGCACUGUCCUGAAUCUGCUCCUUGUGCCCCCAGGGAGGGCUGUGCAUGCCAGGCAUGGGGGCAGCAGUCAGAGAACAAGACCGAGGAGUCGUCAGUGGGGAUUAGGGCCUGCUGCAGCUGUUCCAUUCCGUCACAGAGAUUUUUAUGCCGAGCCUGGGCCCUCUCUAUGGGGGAUCCCACUGGAGUCUUCCAAGAUUUUUCAAAUUGCUCCCUUCCAUCAUCUUCCUUCUCCCUCCAGCCCCAGGCCCCCACUGCUCCCUCUUUCUCCUCCUCUUCUUUCACCGUGGCUCUGACAAGUGAGGUUAGUGACUCUUGACUGGAGGCUGAGGGAAAAGGCCCAUUUGGAGAACCCUGAAUGGGGCAUGACUUUCUCUUUUCUGGAGAUAGUGGUCUCCCUGCUCCCCUACCUCCCUUGCUUUCGGGCCUGGGAUGAUGUGCUCUCUCUGUCCUGAGGCAGGCAUGAGCUGGUGUCUGCCGGUGGGAGAUUCUCACCCUGCUUGGUGCUUGCAAUGCCCUGGCCCCCUACGCAGGACUCUGAACCCAAGCUCUCUGGGCUGUGUGUCCAUUCUCUGGGCCCUUGGAGCUGAGGAGCCGCCGGGAAGCAGAGCUGGGCCCUCCUGCUGACAGUAAGCCCGGAGCUGCAGCAGCCUUGGUAUUAGCGGUGCCAGGCGGCCCUGGGGCUCUCAAGCCCUGCCCAGGCUCUCCUGUGUUCAGGUGAACUGCCCAGCAUCUGCUCAUCAUUCUGACUGCUGCCUGCUUAGGGCCUGGACUCGAGAGCCAGGGUCCCGGGUGGGAAGCCCUCCCCAGUGUCUCUGGGUGAUCUUGAGCAAGGCUUUUGUUAUGGUUUGAAUGUGUCCCCCCAAAUUCAUGUGUUGGAAAGUUUAUCUUCAGUGUAAGGGUGUGGGAGUUGGGGCCUAAUGAAAGGUGAUUAGGUCGCGGGGGCACCACCCUCAUGGAUGGAUUGUCUCUAUCAAGGGAGCAGGUUAGUUAUGGAGAGAGUGGGCAUGUUAUGAAAGUGAGACUGGCCCCUUCCUGCUCUCUUGCUCUCAGGGCAUGCUCUCUUGCCGGCCGGCCUUCCACCAUGGGAUGACGCAGCAAGAAGGCUCCUGCCACAGGCAGGCCACUCGACCUUGGACUUUCCAGCCUCCAAAACUUAGAGAUGGGGUUUCACUGUGUUGGCCAAGAUGGUCUCGAUCUCCUGACCUCGUGAUCCGCCUGCCUCGGCCUCCCAAAGUGCUGGGAUUACAGGCAUGAGCCCGGCCUCUUUCAGUCUCUUUUCUACAGACUGUGACUGCACGUCUGACUUGGCUCCCCAGCCCUGCACAGUGCCUGGUAUGCAGAAGUGCUCAGUUUUCUAUAAAUGUCUGCUGUGGACCAAACUGAUGGAAUCAGCAUCCAAAAGGAAUGCCACAGGCUGAAAUGCUAUCCCUCAUCACCAAGAUAAAACAUUGCAGAGAUGCAUGAAAAUUACAUUUGGGGAGUAAAUAGGCAGCCCAAGUACAGAGUUAAGAAGAUCUGCUUAGAGGUGGCACACAUGAAAACAACUCAAAGGUUUACUUGCCCAUCCAAAUAUCCAUCCAUCCAUCCAUCCAUCCAUCCAUCCAUCCAUCCACCCAACCCCCUCCUGUCCCCAGAAGUUUAACCACCAGGAUUGAGCCCCUCUGUGUCCCAUCCAACCUCUUAAGCUUAGAUGGGUUGGCUGUGCCCAGUGUGUAAGAGGGGGUAGGCCAGGUUCAGGGAGGACACACAGACAAUUCCUCACCCCUCCACCCCCAUCCCCUGCUGGUCAGACCAGUUCCAGGGACCAGUAUUUAAUACCUGGCCCUUAGAAUGGGAAGGAGAUGGCAAUGUGUGUGUGUGUGUAUGUUUCUUCAGGAACACCUUUUUUAUUUUUUUUGAGAUGGAAUCUCGCUGAGUCACCCA